UGCACGACUCUCGGCACGGAUAUCUUGGUCUC
rnacentral:rRNA from 1 species